rnacentral:rRNA from 1 species
AUUGAACGCUAGCGGGGUGCUUUACACAUGCAAGUCGAACGAGUGGCGGACGGGUGAGUAAUAUAACGGAACGUGCCCAGUAGCGGGGGAUUACUACUCGAAAGAGUGGAUAAUACCGCAUACUAUUGUAGCGGCCCAUAUGGGAUUAGCUAGGUGGUGGGGUAAAGGCUCACCAAGGCAACGAUCCGUAGCUGGUUUGAGAGGACGACCAUCCACACUGGGACUGAGCCACGGCCCAGACCCCUACGGGAGGCAGCAGUGGGGAAUUUUGGACAAUGGGGGAAACCCGGACCCGGCCCGCCCGCGUGGAUGAGAAGGCUUUGGGGUUUUAAAGUACUUUUGGCAGAGAAGCGGUAUCUGCAGAAUAAGCACCGGCUAACUACGUGCCAGCCGCCGCGGUAAUAC